GGCGAUUUCGUCUUUACCGUCAGUUGACUCCAUCUUUGCCAUCAUCCUCGAACCCACAGACGGCAAAGAGAUUUUGUUUUGUUUAAAUAUAAAAACAACAAUGCUUAGGUGGACACGCUAAGGAAACGUACUCGGUGAAGGAAAAGCAUGCGGUAAGGAAAUGUACGACCCAGAACCGCUUAAGUGCUUAUAUAUAUGUGGUGGUUACACUUUACGUAAAAGACCCCCACAUAAAAAGAAAGAAGAAAUUAGUCCUGGUUUCUUGCAAGAACCUUACAAAAAUUUGUAAAAAAGAAAUCUAAUCUUCGUCUUCUCCUGGGCAAGGUAGGGCCGGCGACGUGGCUGGGCGAGGUAGGGCCGGUGGCGCGCACGGAGGGGAGAGGUAGGGCCGGUGGCGCGCACGGAGGGGCGAGGCAGGGAGGUCCGGUGGGGACACGCGCAUCAGAUCCGGCGGUGGCUGCUCGACCUCGACC
rnacentral:lncRNA from 1 species